UGAAUGCACAAGACAGAUUAUAUGAUUUCCCAUAUAACUGUUGCGUUAUGGUUGAACCUCCAGUUUGUUGUUGAUUGAAAUUCUGCACUGAUUCAGUGAGAUUUAUUUCCCGGAAGGAGGUGCAAAUGUUCUGGAUUGUUGUUGGGACUGGUGGAUCAGAUUGCACUUUAGUGUACAUAAACUGUAGAAUAACUUGAACCAACUGGCACAAUUUCAACAAGAAUGAGCACAUAGAGUUCUGAUACCACUUAUUGAAACUGCACCGGUUGUACAAGUGUAUUCCAAAUACCAUGUGAGAAUGAAAGCUAGAUAAUAGAGCAAUCAAGAA
rnacentral:lncRNA from 1 species